rnacentral:rRNA from 1 species
GAUGAACGCUGGCGGCGUGCCUAAUACAUGCAAGUCGAGCGAACAGAUGAGGAGCUUGCUCCUCUGACGUUAGCGGCGGACGGGUGAGUAACACGUGGAUAACCUACCUAUAAGACUGGGAUAACUUCGGGAAACCGGAGAUAAUACCGGAUAAUAUAUUGAACCGCAGGGUUCAAUAGUGAAAGACGGUUUUGCUGGCACUUAUAGAUGGAUCCGCGCCGCAUUAGCUAGUUGGUAAGGUAACGGCUUACCAAGGCAACGAUGCGUGACCGACCUGAGAGGGUGAUCGGCCACACUGGAACUGAGACACGGUCCAGACUCCUACGGGAGGCAGCAGUAGCGAAUCUUCCGCAAUGGGCGAAAGCUUGACGGAGCAACGCCGCGUGAGUGAUGAAGGUCUUCGGAUCGUAAAACUCUGUUAUUAGGGAAGAACAAAUGUGUAAGUAACUAUGCACGUCUUGACGGUACCUGAUCAGAAAGCCACGGCUAACUACGUG